GAGAAGACCAAGAGGGGAAAGUAGUCUAUCCAAUAUUCUACGACGUUGACCCUUCUCAAGUGAGGAAACAGAGCGGUAGUUUUGGGGAAGCAUUUCGGAAGCAUGAAAGGGAUGAAGAUCCAGAUGAGGUGGAGCAGUGGAGAAGGGACCUUAAGGCUUGUGCAGAUUUGUGUGGCCGGAAUCUUAAAACCACGGCGGACGGGCGUGAAGGAUUGUUUAUCCAGAAUGUUGUUGGGGACAUCAUCGCACUAACAAAAACCAGAGACUUACAGACAAGUCAGUCGAGCACUCGGUUGGAAUACCUCGUUGCGUGGGCAAGAGUUCCUACUACUGUUUUUUUUUUUUUUUUGAAAUACCCCCCUAUUUAUAACCGAGGAGGGAAGAGAGAUGUCGGUAACUUCUUUCCCAUAGCCUAGUCAGCACUUUUUCUUUUCUUUUUUUAUCUUUUUUCUCCUUUUGGGUAUAAAGAAAGAUUACUCUUUUUCACCCACCCCACUCUCUCCUCUCCCCUCUCUCUCUCCCCUCACCUAUUACUUUUUUUCUUUGAUUCACCCACUUUCUCCUCUCCCCCGUCUCUCGUCGCCCCCUCUUUCCCUCUCUCUUUCCUUUCUCUGCUUCUCUCUAACCAUAAGAGUUACAAGCAUUUGAAGAAAGAAUAAUAAGAAGAAGAGGACCCAGAUGAUCCAGUUCUCAUAUUCUUCAAGGUCUCGCACUUCAACCCAAGACGCGAAGACAAUCUCUCUCCAGCCGAUGCCCACGAUUUUGAGUAUGGAGUUUCUUCGCCUUAGAAAAUCCAACAUUGGGCGCUGAAGGAUCAUAGUAGUUGGAUGGUUGCAUCCAACAAAAAUCAACUUAUUGUAAUUAUAUUUAACAAUGAAUAACUGUGGGUUUUAUCCCAAUGUAUGUAAACUUGUGUGAUUUGGAAUGUCUUAGCUGUCAUAGCAGUGAUGAAUUGUGUGCUACAGUUUGGUUCUGCAGCGGGUUAUGUCAUUGAUACAUGUUAAAAAAAAUUAUGACUCAAUAUGAUUCGUUAUGAAAGUUUACCAAAA